ensembl:lncRNA
GAAAUGGGUCUUUAGACCAUUAAUAGAGUUCAUCCCUCUGGACUGUAUAUUUUGGCCCCUUAACAGAAUGGAAAAAUCCAGCUCGCUUUUGCCUCUGAAAAUAUCAGAGCUGAAAGACCUUGAAUUACUGGAGGAUGAACCAGAGGCAGAAUCUACAAACCUGAACCGAAGCACUUUUGCAUGGAUGUGCAUUGCAUUACUUCUCCUUUCCAGAGACAAAGAAUCAUCUCCCACCUCCCAGAAGGGUUGACAGCAAGCCGGGGAAAGAGGCGCUCCCUGCAUGAGACCCAGAGGCCUUUUCUUUCCACUUGAUCUGUGUUACACCGGAUUACGUCGAGGUGUGUUAUUUUACAUCACAGCAUGCUGGAAAUCGGCGUGAAGCGAGGCAGGGGGACCAAAGAGAGCACAGGGGCACGCAAAACCCUCAAAUAAAGGAAAGAUUUGCCAGAACUGCCA